GGGUGCAAUCAUACCAGCGUUAAUGCACCGGAUCCCAUCAGAACUCCGAAGUUAAGCACG
rnacentral:rRNA from 1 species